UGCCAGCCGCCGCGGUAAUACGGAGGGAGCAAACGUUGUCCGGAAUCAUUGGGCGUAAAGGGUACGAAGGUGGGAUCUUAAGUCAGUUGUUAAAGAUUACGGCUUAACCGUGAUUUGCAAUUGAAACUGGGAUUCUUGAGUUCGAGAGGGGACGGUGGAAUAUCUAGUGUAGCGGUGGAAUGCGUAGAUAUUAGAUAGAACACCUGAGGCGAAGGCGACCGUCUGGCUCGUAACUGACACUCAAGUACGAAAGCAUGGGUAGCGAACAGGAUUAGAUA
rnacentral:rRNA from 1 species